ensembl:lincRNA
GUGGGGCAUCUGGAAAGCAUGGCAACAUGAAUGAGACAUCUUUCUCCUCCAAUCACAGGUCUAACCUUGAUGUCAUCCAUGUGCAGGUGGAAGCAAAUGAGGCCAUGGGUUCUGCUUAAAUCCCUCCAGAGAGAACUGGGGAGGAGACUUGUUUCUCCAAAGCUAGAUGGUUCCCACAGUUGCCAUGGAUAUCUCCUACAGGAGGCUUUGCAAGUUCCACAUGAAGGGGCUGAAAUUAAUAAACUCCUUUGAACUCAGAGGAAACAAACCAGUUGCUACCAAGAAAAGAUGACUGCAAUAAAUGAAAAGAUGACCACAAUAAAUAGGUGAGUGGGAAUAAAAAGUGAUUUACAAAUAAUUAUGUACAAUAUGACCUUGCUUUUGUAAAAGAAUAAAAAAGUGUAUAACCAUAUAUAUAGGAAAACAUCUGGAAAUGUACAUACUAAAAUGUCAAGAGUAGUUGCUCUGGGUGGGGUAUGGUAU